CUUCUUUUUUUUACUGGAGAACUGACAGUGUUGGAGGAGGCAUGAUCAUGUCUCUUAUUGAGUUGGUUAGUUCAUGUUGACUUCUUUACUGUGAUGGAAAACAGUGAUGCUUUUUUCUUUCUAAUAUUUAUGAAACGUGCUUUGUGAUUAAGGUCAUAAUAAGGACCAAAAUAAAACAGUUCCUGUAUCAAGAAUGCUGGAAAUAUAUUUAAAGCAGGAAUUAAUUAUUAAGAUUUCAAGAUCUGAAGCUGCACUUGAGGGGAGGGGUUGAGAGAAGGAUUCUGUUUCUGAAGGAAGUCCAGUUAUAAGUGCCAUAUGGGAGGUGGUAUUUUAUUUAACACAUGCAGUGAGUUAAUUUGUUUUCGUAGCCUUGCAGGAUAUAAUUUCAUGUGCUGCGUGCAAGGGGAGAGGGGUUCACAUGCUGCCACUACCUGCUCAAGCCAAACUCCUUCCCAGCCAAGGCAGUUAAAUGAGUGAGCUGAGCUGACUUGUACUGUGACUGCAGUAUUAUUGGAGUUUCUGCAGCGAGGACAUGGAAAUAGAUGACAGGAAAGAAGAGGCUUAUCCCUCUCUGUGGCAGCCUGUAUUUCCCUGGCUGAAGCUUCACUGUGGCUGCCUGCUUCUGUGGUGGGGGGGGAAGCAUUGCUGCUGCUGCCUGCCUUGUACCUGAUCAUUGGCCUGAUUUUAUGCUAACUCAGCCAAAAAUGUCUGCUGUGUUUAAUCUGGGAGUGGCUUGCUGCAUAACCAGAUGUGUGCCAUGUUAGUGCCAAUGAAGGUAGGGACGGGACUCAAUUAUUUCAUCCUUACGUUGCUGUUCUGAAAUGAGCUUGAGGGAGUUGUUAACAGCCCAGUAUCCACUCUGUGCUCUUACUGAAGUUGAAUAAGAAUUUCAGUAAGGGCUUUGUCCUAUGUCUCUUUGAGAUGUUUCAUAAACAAAUGGCACAGGAUGCAACCUAAAAUGUUCUUCAGUGCAGCCAGUGAGUUAAAAACAUCAGUUGGUCAACCAGGAUCCUGUUGGUGGUACACCUUAGAGCAAAUAUAAGAAAAUGCUUCUCAGCGUCUCUGCUGUGUCCCUCCCCAACCCUGCUAGCCUCUCUUACUGUUUUUUUAGAGUUGUGAUUUCUAAACAUCUUUCUGUGAAAUGACAGCACAGUGGUUUUAUCAAAAGCAUGUCAGCAGGGAGAAGAUUCCAGUGCAUAUGGAAGGGCCCUCCUAAUAACAAACCUAUCAAAAAGGCACAUGAGGUUAACAUGUGCUGAGAACUAAACAAUGCUAGGAGCAUUGUGUGAAGUAUUUAAAAAGUACCUGCCGCUGAAACAGGAAAGUAGGAGGAAAUGAAAUUGCUGUAGAUAAGUUUUUUUUGUUCUGUUAAGUAUUCAGAGAUGCUGGGAUUAUGACUGCCUCUUAAGAAAUUACUGAAUAAAGAACUGAAUCAACAGACUUUCCCAAGCAUUGGAUGCCCUCUUAUACUGAGCAUAUAUUUUCUUAAGUGUUUUGAGAGCUGCAAUGUGUGUGAAGCGAUUAUUGUUAAAUUCACAUUGGCCCACUAAUAUGAGUAACCAUGGAAAAAACAAAAUGUUUGAUGCUAGCAUAAAAGGUGUUAACCCACUGUACUAUUUGCUGCUUGGAUUGAAGGCACUGUGCUGAAAGCUCUUGAGUCACCUGAUACAUGAACUGUUUGCUAAAGGCUGUGAACAAUCAGUGCUUUGUAAAGCUUUUGAGGAGUGUUUAGCAAGGUCACUUGCUUGUAGUUUCUGUCCUGGUUGGUCUUGCCUGAAACUAAUCCUUGCUUAUAAGUGAACCUCUGCAGACUAAUUUUGUAGAAUUAAACUGGAUACAGAUAAUGCACACAUACCAGCUCAGCUAUUUGUUUUGAAGUGUUUCUGCUCAAAUGUUUCAACUGCCUUUCUUAAAUCAGCUGUACAAUUGCUGUGAUAGACUGUUUUAAAAUGCUUUGGCAUCUUCAGAAUGUGCUUCCCUGUGCCUGUAUCAAUUGUAUUAUUGCCUGUAUCAGUCAAUAUUUUCAUGUUACUAAAGCAUGGGGAUUAAUAAGUUCUCAGAAUGGCGUUCUUUUCCAUGAAAGAAUUGAUUGCCUAGGAAUACAGAGCUGAGGCAUUACCAGUCAAUUACUAGAUUCUGGGUUUUGCAAAACAGAGCAGCUAUCUGUGAAAUAAGGUACAAAUUGAUAGUUGUUCUAAGGAAGAAAGUCCUGUGGCUCUUCUGAACACAGACCGUUUCUGUUUCCAUACUGGUUUUCAGUUCACUAUGCACGUUCUUCAGAAUGACAUUAAGCUAAAUCCCUGGAUAGCUAAGCCUGAUUAGUAGCCACCCUGUAUUUUUCCUAGCUUUGUAUCUUCUUCACUGGAAAAUGCGCUCAUGAAAAGUUAGGUGAUGGACUAGUGUUCUAUUGUUACUGAUGCCUAAUUUUACAGAUGGAAAUUGUGCUUGGUUUUAUAGGAAAAAAAUAUUUGGCUUUGGUUUCUGGUUGAGCACAAACACAGAGGCUUCACAUGAGUAAUUGCAGUUUGGUGAGGGAACACUUUUCUGAGGUGGAGGCAGUGAACAGCUCUGGGAAUGGCUUUCACAUAGCACCCAGAGCAAAAACCUGCCUAGCUGCAUCUGUAUUUUCUGUAGUUACAGUUGUCUUUCAGCUGGAAUGCCUGGGUCUGGAGUGACCUGCCAUGUGAUCAUUUACUACACCCAGUACAGGGGGCUGUACACAUAGAGCUCAGCUCUUUGGUUUAAAUCAUUCAUAUUGACUUGGAGCAUUGCCAAGCUGACUUAACCUUUCCAAGCUGCUUUGAUAUGGCAGAGAUUUGGUCACCCUUCUGGAGAAGUUUGGAAACCCUUCUGGUAUAAGGGAUCCUAUUUACCCUGUUAGGCAAGAAUUGAGGGGAAAAUGAUAGUAAAUUUUCUUGGAUUGAAAG